rnacentral:rRNA from 1 species
UACGGAGGAUGCAAGCGUUAUCCGGAUUUAUUAGGUUUAAAGGGUGCGUAGGUGGGCGUUUAAGUCAGUGGUUAAAGCCAUUAGCUUAACUAAUGUAUGCCAUUGAUACUGGAUGUCUUGAAUGUGGUAGAGGUAGGCGGAAUGUGUUGUGUAGCGGUGAAAUGCUUAGAUAUAACACAGAACACCGAUUGCGAAGGCAGCUUACUAUUCCAUUAUUGACGCUGAUGCACGAAAGCGUGGGGAUCAAACAGGAUUAGAUACCCUGGUAGUCCACGCUGUAAACUAUGAUCACUCGUUUUUGGCGAUAUAUAGUCAGAGACUGAGCGAAAGCAUUAAGUGAUCCACCUGGGGAGUACGUUCGCAAGAAUGAAACUCAAAGGAAUUGACGGGGGCCCGCACAAGCGGAGGAACAUGUGGUUUAAUUCGAUGAUACGCGAGGAACCUUACCUGGGCUUAAAUGUAUAGUGCAUAAUGUGGAAACACAUUUUUCCUUCGGGACUCUUUACAAGGUGCUGCAUGGUU